UACAGAGGGUGCAAGCGUUGUUCGGAAUCAUUGGGCGUAAAGGGCGCGUAGGCGGUUUUACAAGUCAGAUGUGAAAGCCCAGGGCUUAACCUUGGAAGUGCAUCUGAAACUGUACGACUAGAGUCUCGGAGAGGGUGGUGGAAUUCCCAGUGUAGAGGUGAAAUUCGUAGAUAUUGGGAGGAACACCGGUGGCGAAGGCGACCACCUGGCUGAAGACUGACGCUGAGGCGCGAAAGCGUGGGGAUCAAACAGG
rnacentral:rRNA from 1 species